CCUACGGGUGGCAGCAGUGAGGAAUAUUGGGCAAUGGAGGCAACUCUGACCCAGCCAUGCCGCGUGAGUGAAGAAGGUUUUCGGAUUGUAAAGCUCUUUCGGAUGUGACGAUGAUGACGGUAGCAUCUAAAGAAGCCCCGGCUAACUUCGUGCCAGCAGCCGCGGUAAUACGAAGGGGGCAAGCGUUGUUCGGAUUUACUGGGCGUAAAGGGAGUGUAGGCGGUCUGUUAAGUCAGCGGUCAACGCCCGGGGCUCAACCCCGGCCCGCCGUUGAAACGGGCAGUCUCGAGUUGGAGAGAAGUAUGCGGAAUGCGCGGUGUAGCGGUGAAAUGCAUAGAUAUCGCGCAGAACUCCGAUUGCGAAGGCAGCAUGCCGGCUCCACACUGACACUGAGGCACGAAAGCGUGGGUAUCGAACAGGAUUAGAUACCCUUGUAGUC
rnacentral:rRNA from 1 species